UGGGGAAUAUUGCACAAUGGGCGAAAGCCUGAUGCAGCGACGCCGCGUGAGGGAUGACGGCCUUCGGGUUGUAAACCUCUUUCAGCAGGGACGAAGCGCAAGUGACGGUACCUGCAGAAGAAGCACCGGCUAACUACGUGCCAGCAGCCGCGGUAAUACGUAGGGUGCAAGCGUUGUUCGGAUUUACUGGGCGUAAAGGGCGCGUAGGCGGCAUGACAAGUCACUUGUGAAAUCUCUGGGCUUAACCCAGAACGGCCAAGUGAUACUGUCGCGCUAGAGUGCAGAAGGGGCAAUCGGAAUUCUUGGUGUAGCGGUGAAAUGCGUAGAUAUCAAGAGGAACACCUGAGGUGAAGACGGGUUGCUGGGCUGACACUGACGCUGAGGCGCGAAAGCCAGGGGAGCAAACGGGAUUAGAUACCCUCGUAGUCCCUGAGCGGGCUGGCAAGGCGCAU
rnacentral:rRNA from 1 species